UUUCCGUCUUUCACCUAUUAAGCCCGUUUUCGCUUGCUUCGAGCCAUUUUCAUUAGCGUUAGGCUGUCUGCGAGCACAACAGGGACGGUUGUAAUCAGCAGCCAUAGACUGUGAAGUGGGAGAACCUAAACGUGACGUCAAUGCCUAGUAACUGACGCAGCCCUCAAAAAAAGAGAGAGAUUCUGCAAGCUUUAAUUAUUAUCGUUUGUGUACUGCUCUCAAGACAAAACAUAUUCCGCUCGCAGUGCAACUGAUUAUGGUUGUUUGUGCGCGCGAGUCCGUGUAUGUGUCUCUGUGUGAGUGAGUGCGCGCGUGCGUGCGUGUGUUUUCUUCUUUAUGAGCAGCGAAUCCGUCCCGAGUUUCCAAGCGAAAGUUGCAUGGAGACACACCGCGUAAGACGCGUAUAAUAAAGAGGAUGGUGAGCGACAUAAAGGAACGAGGAGAGCGGGAACAACUUGUGCUAAGAAAGAGACGUUAGAAAUAUUUAGCCCAUAAGAGAGAAGGGCAUUGAAGCAGUUCGUUUGAAAAAAAAAAAAAAAAAAUCACUGCAGCGAUGCAUCGGAGGCGAGUCGGAGCCCUCGCAUGUUGGAGUUGGAGAGCCAAAAUUAAUGUACAUUAUAUGCACUCCACGUAACGCUCCUGAGCGAUGUCUUUGUGAGUGUUUUUUUUUCUUACUGGGCGCUAAAAAUAGCAUCAGUGUUUGAUCGUGGUCCAGAAAUAGGAAGAGGGUAUCACUUGUAUAAAAAGGACUGCGAUUCUGAGAAACUUGGACGUGUUGCUGAGGAUAGAUAUGUAUCAAGGGCAGUAUUUGAUUUUCAUUUUGCUUGUUUUUGUGUGACAUGGUCACGUAUGAUGGUUUAAACUCAUGUCUGUGUUUUCCCCGCUUUCAGCAAGGGCUUGCUGCACUGAGGGCAGGACAAACCUUGAGGGAUCCAUCAUGUCAAGUACAGAAAGUGAAAUGAACGGCGCGAGCCACCGAAGGUUCCCAAACGGUCUUCAUCGUGACGUCACCGUCUUCAAAAUCUGCCGAUGACCAGACAUCUGUGCAAAAGCGAGCUGUGAAGCUGAACUGACUGCGUUCCUCAUGGAAGGAGAGGGACGAGCUGACAGGAAUGGAAAUUGACGGAGGAAAAGGAGGGAGUUGACCAAUAACCAGCGUAGAAAAGGCCUCAGACGUGAGAAAACCAUGAUGAGGUCCUACGGUUAAUCAUCUGAUCCAGGACAUUCACAUGUGAGAGGGAAAAAUAAAAAGGACAUGAAAAUCUGGGAAAACUUUACCUUGUAUCCUGCCCACAAGAUCAACGUCUGUUACACUGCUUUACACCUGUUAAUGGAUAUUCAGCAAGUUAAUUACUUUGUAGGAACACGAUAACACCGUCAGGUAUUUGCAAUAUUUGUCUGUAAACUAUCUGGGUUUUAAUAAAUGAGCUGGACUUUGUUUACGUUGUCAGACAUCUGUAACGUGUGAGCUGCUAGACGUAAGGGAAUAUGAAAAUGAUAACGUAGAAAGUGUUUGAGCUAAUAAAAAAAGUAUACUUGCACAUAAAUUAAUAUAUAUAUAGAUACAUUUGUUGUAACUCUUCACUCUUCAACUGUGUGACGCACGAGAGCGCUUGUGUUGUUUUAAUUCGCAAAGACAUGGAGGGAAACGUAGUCAGAUUUAAUCUUAUUUGUUCUAAUUAAAUAAUAGUCUAUAUGUAGCUUGAAAUGGAUUUGUUGGGACUGUGAUAAUAAGAACGUGAGCGCAGGAAACUUCCGCGUCAAGAGUGUGGAAAUUACAGCCGCAGCACACGGUUGUCGUUUUUUUAAGCUUGUGGUGCUUUAUAAUUUCGAGGGUUGUAUAUUUCUGGGAUCCUAUAGUUUGUUAAAAUUGUUGUAUGAAGCUGCAGACGGUUAAACGGAGAGUUUGUUGAUCUGUCAGGCGUUCGCUGUCCACUGCACGUGGUGCUGAAACGCGCUGCUGCUGCUGAGGUAUCACUCGCCCAAGUGAGCUUAUAACUAAAGAUUACGCUGUUUUUAUACGUUCUUUCCAUAUAGGAGUUUAUUAUAUCGUGUAUAUAUGUUAUAAUGUUUAAUAGCUCGUGUUUAGGCACCAUUUUGAGCACAAUUAAUGUGAAAUAUGGCUUGUUUGAAUUGUCAAAGGGUCAAAGGGCCUGGGUAGUGCAGAAAAAGGGAGAAGCAAAUAUGUUUAAAUUAAAAAAUAAAUAUUAUAGGCGUCGAGUUAAGCUUAAGAUGUCUGUGGUAGAUUUGUGAGUGUCGAGGAGGGAAAGCAGGGAUAUAUAAUGUGCUACGUGAGAGACUGAGAGGAUACGUGUGUGUGUGUGUGUGUGUGUGUCUGAGGUAAUGUCGAAAAUUGUAUGUUUUAAGGUUUAAUAAGCAGAUUAUAAUGAAGUAAAAUAUCUAGAUUUUGCAUCAGUUAUCAAAGUAUUAUAUUAUGUACAUUAUAGCAUAAUAAAGACAAAAAAUAACAGUGAUAGUGCACUAUGUAUCGGAUUAUUUGUGCUUUACGUGUCUUAUGUUUUUUUAUUGCUUUAUAAUUGUGCUAUUUUUCUGCUUUUCUGUUUUUGUAUACCAUGCAGCCCUACAUGUGCUUAACACUUUGAGUUGAAUUGUGUAAAAUGAGUUGCAUGUGGUUGCUGCAGUGUGGACGACGUAAGGACUUCUGCACUUCUGUGUAUUUGAAUAUAAUUUCUAUAUAGUGCACUGAGAAAAAAUAUGCUGAACUAACUAGCCUAUUUGACUAAUUGUUUAGCUCUUUUAUCACAUGAAAUAAGCUGUACGUACGGUGUAAGUAAUAUAUGGUGUGAUUAAAAUGUGUGUAUAUUGCUGGAAGUUUGUUGUUGACGUGACAGUUGUGAUGAAUCACGCAUUUUGUAAUCAAACUGUAUUUUCUGUCCUUUGUCAGUGUAAAUAAAAUGUUUGGCGUUA